AGUCACUGACAUUAGACUACCCCGGUAGUCCAGGGUGUAAACGCUGCAGACGUUGGUGUUGGAGCCCGUUUGGGGGCAUUCAGUGCCGGAGAGAAGUUGUUAAGUCUGCUACGUUGGGGAGUACGUCCGCAAGGAUAGAAAACUUAAAGGAAUUGGCGGGGGAGCACCGCAACGGGAGGAGCGUGCGGUUUAAUUGGAUUCAACACCGUAAAACUCACCAGGGAAGACUGUUACAUGAAGGCCGAGAUGAAGACUCUGCUAGAUUUUCAG
rnacentral:rRNA from 1 species